rnacentral:misc_RNA from 1 species
GAAGGAUGUUUUGCAGAUUCUACGUAGAAGUUCUCUGAGAGAUUAUGGAGAGAGGUUAGAAAGAUGAGUUUGAUGUUGCUCCUGAUCUCCUUGGCAAUCCUACUUAUCUUUCUUGUUACAAGCGAAGCAGGAGAGUAUAAGAUGAUGAAUACGAUAGCAAAUUAGAUGACAACGUAUGAUGUCUGAUAAUGGUAUUUCUUCUGUCUGUCUGAAAAUAAUCAUGAAAAUAUAUGCUGUGGUCAUGAAAAUAAUCAUUACCGAGCAAGUUUUGCAGCCAAUUUCUUACUAUUGAAUCGCCAUAUUUAAUUCCUCUGUUUUCAAAAGCUUUUUGCUUCUUCUAGCAAUGAACUAGCGAGUGUAUGCUCUAAUGGAGUGAUCAUAGG